CUCGGGCUCGUGGCUCGUGGGCGAGCUCGGCUCGGCCCACGAGCUUGUGUACUCACGAGCCACGAGCUCGUGGGCCGAGCCGAGCCGAGCCCACGAGCGGCUCGCGAGCUCGUGAAAUUUUUUAUUUUAUUUUUUUUUU
rnacentral:sRNA from 1 species